rnacentral:rRNA from 1 species
GACGAACGCUGGCGGCGUGCUUAACACAUGCAAGUCGAACGGGCUCUGUCUGGCUGUGUGCUGGGUGGGGUUAGUGGCGAACGGGUGAGUAAUACGUGAGUAACCUGCCCUCUUCUUUGGGAUAAGCCUUGGAAACGGGGUCUAAUACUGGAUAUUCCUGUCUGGUCGCAUGGCUGGGUGGGGAAAGUUUUUUUCGGUGGGGGAUGGGCUCGCGGCCUAUCAGCUUGUUGGUGGGGUGAUGGCCUACCAAGGCGUCGACGGGUAGCCGGCCUGAGAGGGUGACCGGCCACACUGGGACUGAGAUACGGCCCAGACUCCUACGGGAGGCAGCAGUGGGGGAGAUUGCACAAUGGGCGCAAGCCUGAUGCAGCGACGCCGCGUGGGGGAUGACGGCUUUCGGGUUGUAAACCUCUUUCGUCGGGGGACAAGGCUCUGCUUGGUGGUGGGGUUGAGGGUACCCGGUGAAGAAGCGCCGGCUAACUACGUG